UAACGCAUUUAGCCUAGUGAAUCAGAUUCGCUAGAAUGCGAUUGGUUUGAUGUCAGGAUAAACAUGUUUUCAACACAUGUACACAAAUGCCAAGUUACUCACACAUUCAAAGCAGUUCGCUGGAGUCAAGUUCUUUCAGUUCUGCGACGAGAAGAGAACGGUGUGAACAACGGAACUUUUUAAAGCGAAAUUGAUGGAGAUGCAUACAUCCAUCUGGAAAGCUGAUCUCCGCCAUAUGAAAGAAUGCAACACGUGCUGCCAGCGUUUAUUCCACUGCCCACUGUGCCCAACCUACAAACCAUCGAAGAAGGCAAAUAUUCAGAGGCAUGUGGAAGCCCAUGCAAAAAAUGCAGUGCAUUUCAAAGACAAAUACAUCUGCCAAUGCAGGUUGCCAUGCAGGACUGAGGCUCAUUAUCACUGCUCUUUAUGUGAGAAGACCCAUAUACUUCAAUAUUUCAAGAGACAUUACAAAGACUUCACAUUUAAUGUGUGUGUGUGGAUGAAACAAAUGGCAUAUUUGCAGUUCGAAGAAGUGGUCAUUAACAUUAGGCUAUUUACUUUUCAGGUGGGUAAUGGCUACUUUUGAGCUGAUAGAGAAAAUCGCUCAGUCAAAGGGGAAGAGCAUUUACAUUGAGGAUUUGUAUGUCACCCCAACUUGGCUACCUCCAAGCAACUGUGAUCCAGUGAUAAGCCUUCCUAGCGACGCUCAGUGGAAGGAUGCACUUCUCUUCCCUCUGUGGACACCUGGGCACCAGUUGUGUGUAAGUACUAUUACAAAUGUCACUUGUAGUGCAAUUUUCUGCAUCCACGAGGACUGCCGCUGUGGCUACUUUGCCAAAUUUAUUUUAUUAUUUUUUUUGUAACCUGUGAUUGCUUGCUGUUUCAAAUAAUCACUUUGCAUUUUGAAUGUAAUGCUUGCUAAAACUCCAGAGUGACUCUCUUCUAGGUCUUUAAGCCCGUUCAAAAAGAAAUUUUUUCUCGACUCAGGCUAUGCGCUCAGAGAAAAUCUGGAUUUGGUGGCCAGCGAUACGCAUCUCUCUUGAGGUCACAAGUUUGUAAUUGAUUUCCGAGUUCUGUUACGGACAGGAACGUUCUAUGACCUGUUCGGUGUUCAAGGUUUGUGCAUGCCAGAUCAUGUUCUUAUGGUCUUAUAUAUACACCUCUUGGGGAAAAAAAAGUAAGACUCCACAUCAAAUUUUCAGCUUAACAGUUUAUGGGUAUUUGCCUGCAUAAAAUCUAACAUUUUACAUUCUUUCAUGAACUAUUGACCACAUUUGAUUUUAAUUCUAAAUAAAUGUCAUUCAGAACAUUUAUUUUCAGAUGAGAACUAGUCAAAAUAUUAAAUAUAGUACAUCAAAUGUAAUGCAUUGAAUAAUGCAAAUUAAAAGUUUAUACUGAUAAAUUAAUAAUAAAAAACUCUUCUGUCUUUGCUUAGGAAGAGUUGAACAAUCAAUAUGUGUGGUUGUCUCCAUUUUCUUCCAGAGCUGUAGUGCAUUCACAUGUUUGUUGGAAGUGCCUGUUUCCCAGAUAGUGACAUUUCUCUGAAAAAUCAGUGUGCAAAUUUUUCACCAACUUGUCCAUUUGACUUGAAUAAAAUAGGAAACCUGUUGACCCACUAUGAGCAUGUGAAUGCACAUUUACUCUGUUCAUAUUAACAAGGCUAUGUUCUUAUGGCCUGUGUGUGAAGUGUGCUGUCAGGGGUUCUCGAUAAGUUGUAAGGUUGUGCCAAGACCCUUUCACUUAAAGCAGGGUGUACUUACCAAGGGCCUGAUUGAAGACCAUGAUUAGUUAAUGAGAAGAAUCAGCUGUCUUAGAGCUGAAACAAAAACCUACACUCACAGCAGCCUUUUUUGGAUUAGAUUGGACAACAAACAAAUCAUUGAGGAUCUUAAAAACAAUCAGUAUGAAGUAUAAUAUUGGCAAUUUCAUAAGUUGUUGCUGUGCCAACCUUUUGUUAUUUUGAGAGAACUCUGUUUAAAUCUCAGGUGUCAAACUCCAGUCCUGGAGGGCUGCAGUGUCUGCUGGUUAUUUGAGUGUUCUUGGCAUUAAUGGUUAAUUUAAGUCACUGAUUGCCUUAAGAAUCCACACAAACUGUUCUCAGGGCCUUAACUGGCAGCUGAUUGAAAGGAAACCACAGAAAUCUGCGGACACUAUGGUCACCUGGGAAUUUAGUCCGACACCUCUGGUUUAAAUUGUCAGCCUUUAGUAUGCUGAAUCAUUGCCAAAAUUUUGCAAGAUCAGCUUUCUCAACAUUUUUUUUAACUGCUCUUGACGGUGAUGCCUAGAAUCCUGUGUAUUUAACAUUACUUUGUGCUUCUUAAAUCAACAGGGAUCUUGCUAAGAGUAUAAGCCCAGGGGACUGGUUGGAACAAACUGGCUUUGACUUGGAGGGGUUUUCAACUCAAGACUUUGGAUGUGACUGUGGAAUCUUCAUGUUGGUGAG